rnacentral:lncRNA from 1 species
UUAAAAUGCAGACAAAGUUUAAAAAGCAAUAGAAGAGAGUUGCAGAAAAUCCAGAUUAAUAGUUAAAAGUUGAAAUAGUUUAUCCUCUUACACAGGGGUAUUAAUUACAAAGAGCAUCCUCAGUCUCAUUUGCAGAGUUUCCCUUUCACUAUCUGGAACUGAAGCAGUAGAUUAAUGAGAGAGGCUGGGAAGGUGCCACCUUGUAAGGAGCUGCAUGGAAAUGAACCACUUAAAAUGCACAAACAAGUUUUAUUGCAACUGCCAAACCUAGGAACCAUGUAACAUCCUACUAUAGAAUAUACUGUAACUAAUGACAUCAACUAUUUACACACAUUUAUUGUGUUGUUGUGUUUUGUUUUCAGAUCUCCAUAUAUAGGUGAACAUUUUGAAUUUUUUGCUAAAGAUUUCCAAAUUAACAUCUAAAGGAUUUUUUAUUUUCCUUUAUGUAUUCUCUCUGGGUUAUAUCGGUGCUACAGGGCUACUCAGCCCAUGCUGUAGCGAUUCCUGCUUAGAUGUUAUUAAUACAGUGCAGGAGAGGAUGGUAGAUACGAGUCUUGUAGAAAUGAAGCUAAUGCUGAGACUCACUGUUUUCAUUUCCCUGUGCUUUUGCAUUUAGAUUUCAUAGCACUGAAAGUCUUGGUGGGCAUAGUGUGGAUGGCUUGAUGGUGGAAAUGGAAGAUCUUGGUGGUCUUUUCCAACCUUUAUGAUUCUUUGUGAUUCCUGAGAGGAAAAAACACCAUUCCUGUUCACAGUGAAGGAGCCACAGUCCACCACCUCCAGGGUCAAGGCUUUGCCACCACCGCAGGGCAUGGAGUGCCAUAAGUAGUGCUGAAUGGAGCAAGGAGGAGGAGAUGGCCGCACACAUAGCAUGGAAGCUUUGACUAAUGUUCCUGCUUUUGGCAUUGAGCACCUGAUCAAGACCAUAGAAAUGCCGCAGAAGAUGUAUCUGGCCAAAGACUAAUCAGUUUACCUCUUGGAAUAGACUGCAUGUUGUAGCACGCGAACAGGCAACUGAUACCAUUGACCUUGGCAAGAAGAGUGAAGUCCAGUGCCAACAAAGGUAUGAUUUUGCAGCGUGGGCAUUUGUCUUACAGUCCUUCCUUCUUCCUUAUCCUCUUUCAUCAUCAAGCAAAACCUGGAAGCAUCUGAAAUCAGCACUGGCUUCUGCAAGUCUUUGAUGUAGGCACCAAUCCAUGUACCCUCUGGGAUUUCUAUAUGGAACAUACUGAUACUAAACUAUUCACCCUAAACUGGAUGCAAGACACCAUCAGAACAGAAUUGGAAGCUUCAUUCCUAAAGCUACUUUGAUGUUUAGCUGUGUUCAGUUCACCUAGAAAGAGCACUGAAGAGCUGCCAAAAGCAGACCAACCAGGCUGCCUGGCUGACAAAGCCUCUCCUCCUUCUCUGCCUUCCCAGCUACCUUCAGCCCACGGUUGACCUGAUGUGUCUUGGCCAUGCAGCACACAAGACAGAGGCAGCAAAUCCAGCAUCCAAAUAGGGAUUCCAGUAACUGGCUAAAUCUGCUUGGUGAGCUGGCUGCCAGCUGACACACUUGUGGCCAUCUGCAUCUGGAUUGUCCUGACAGUGCUCCUUCACAGCAGGACCAGACUCUUGCAAGAGUGUUUUAACUUACCUUGCCUCCCCUUUUUCCUCCCUGGAGAGGGGAGACCCUAAAACCUUGCAGGAGCUUUCUCAA